rnacentral:rRNA from 1 species
UACGUAGGGUGCAAGCGUUGUCCGGAAUUAUUGGGCGUAAAGAGCUCGUAGGCGGUCUGUCGCGUCGGCGGGUGAAAGCCCCGGGCUCAACCUGGGAAUGGCCGUUGAAACUGGCGAACUGGAGUGUGGCAGAGGGGGGUGGAAUUCCGCGUGUAGCAGUGAAAUGCGUAGAGAUGCGGAGGAACACCGAUGGCGAAGGCAGCCCCCUGGGCUGACACUGACGCUCAGGCACGAAAGCGUGGGGAGCAAACAGG